rnacentral:sRNA from 1 species
AGGAAGAAGAAAGGCGUAUGGCAUCUGUUUUAGCCAAAAAAGAGGAAGAGAAGAAGCGGGAAAGUCAUAAACAAUCUUUGCUUAAGGAGAAGAGAAGGUUAACAAUUAACAACGUAGCUCGACAGUGGGACUUGCAACAACAACGAGUAGCCAAUAUUGCUACAAAUGAAGAUAGAAAAGAUUCUGACUCUCCUCAGGACCCCUGUCAGAUUGAUGGAAGCACCCUCUCUGCAUUCCCAGAGGAAACAGGGCCUCUAGACUCAGGACUCAACAAUGCUUUACAAGGUUUAUCUGUCAUAGACACAUACCUUGUUGAAGUGGACGGGGAUACACUUUCCCUGUAUGGCUCAGGAGCACUGGAAUCUCUGGAUAGGAAUUGGAGUGUUCAAACAGCAGGAAUGAUCACAACAGUCUCCUUCACUUUCAUAGAAUUUGAUGAAAUUGUCCAAGUGCUUCCUAAACUGAAGAUUAAAUUUCCUAAUUCUCUGAAGGAGUCACCCAGAAUUCAAUAUUGGAUGGAUUCCAUCAAUGGUGCAUUGGAUGAAUUAAAGUUAUCACCUUAAAUUCAAGGAAACAAAUCUUGUAAUGCUGCAGCAAUUUAACGCACUAGCCCAACUCCGUCGUAUUGACCAGUUGACAAUUGAUCCUCAAGGAAAUCCAGUUGUCAAUUUUACACUCUGGAAAUACUAUGUACUGUUUAGGCUAAGCCAUUUUAGUAUGCAGAAAA